GACGAACGCUGGCGGCGUGCUUAACACAUGCAAGUCGAACGGAAAGGCCCUGCUUGCAGGGUACUCGAGUGGCGAACGGGUGAGUAACACGUGGGUGAUCUGCCCUGCACUUCGGGAUAAGCCUGGGAAACUGGGUCUAAUACCUGAUAGGAGCCAUUUUUAGUGUGUUGGUUGGAAAGUUUUUUCGGUGUAGGAUGAGCUCGCGGCCUAUCAGCUUGUUGGUGGGGUAAUGGCCUACCAAGGCGGCGACGGGUAGCCGGCCUGAGAGGGUGGACGGCCACAUUGGGACUGAGAUACGGCCCAGACUCCUACGGGAGGCAGCAGUGGGGAAUAUUGCACAAUGGGCGCAAGCCUGAUGCAGCGACGCCGCGUGGGGGAUGACGGCCUUCGGGUUGUAAACUCCUUUCGCUAGGGACGAAGCUUUUUGUGACGGUACCUAGAUAAGAAGCACCGGCUAACUACGUG
rnacentral:rRNA from 1 species